rnacentral:rRNA from 1 species
GACGUAGGAGGCGAGCGUUGUCCGGAUUCAUUGGGCGUAAAGAGCUCGUAGGCGGCUUGGUAAGUCGGAUGUGAAACCUCCAGGCUCAACCUGGAGUCGCCAUCCGAUACUGCCAUGGCUAGAGUCCGGUAGGGGCCCACGGAAUUCCUGGUGUAGCGGUGAAAUGCGCAGAUAUCAGGAGGAACACCGAUGGCGAAGGCAGUGGGCUGGGCCGGCACUGACGCUGGAGGAGCGAAAGCGUGGGGAGCGAACAGG